UACAGAGGGUGCGAGCGUUGUCCGGAAUCACUGGGCGUAAAGGGUGUGUAGGUGGCUCUGUAAGUCGGGGGUGAAAUGCUGCGGCUCAAUUGUAGUGUUGCCUCCGAGACUGCAAGGCUUGAGCACGGUAGAGGCCGAUGGAAUUCCCGGUGUAGCGGUGGAAUGCGUAGAGAUCGGGAAGAACACCAAUGGCGAAGGCGGGUCUCUGGGCAGUAACUGACGCUGAGGAGCGAAAGCGUGGGGAGCGAACAGG
rnacentral:rRNA from 1 species